rnacentral:rRNA from 1 species
ACGAACGCUGGCGGCGUGCCUAAUACAUGCAAGUCGAGCGGAAUGAUGAAGAAGCUUGCUUCUUCUGAUUUUAGCGGCGGACGGGUGAGUAACACGUGGGCAACCUACCUUGUAGAUUGGGAUAACUCCGGGAAACCGGGGCUAAUACCGAAUAAUCCAUUUUGCUUCAUGGCGAGAUGUUGAAAGACGGUUUCGGCUGUCACUAUAAGAUGGGCCCGCGGCGCAUUAGCUAGUUGGUAGGGUAAUGGCCUACCAAGGCGACGAUGCGUAGCCGACCUGAGAGGAUGAUCGGCCACACUGGGACUGAGACACGGCCCAGACUCCUACGGGAGGCAGCAGUAGGGAAUCUUCCACAAUGGACGAAAGUCUGAUGGAGCAACGCCGCGUGAGUGAAGAAGGUUUUCGGAUCGUAAAACUCUGUUGUAAGGGAAGAACACGUACGAGAGUAACUGCUCGUACCUUGACGGUACCUUAUUAGAAAGCCACGGCUAACUACGUG